rnacentral:rRNA from 1 species
GACGAACGCUGGCGGCGUGCUUAACACAUGCAAGUCGAACGAAGUGGCGAACGGGUGAGUAACGCGUAAUCAACCUGCCCUUCAGAGGGGGACAACAGUUGGAAACGACUGCUAAUACCGCAUACUGAAGGAGGGGAUUGCGUCUGAUUAGCUAGUUGGGGGGGGAACGGCCCACCAAGGCGAUGAACAGUAGGCUGUCUGAGGAGGUGGACGGCCACAAUGGGACUUGGACACGGCCCAGGCUCCUACGGGAGGCAGCAGUGGGGAAUCUUCCGCAAUGGACGGAAGUCUGACGGAGCAACGGCGGGUGAGUGGUGACGGCCUUCGGGUUGUAAAGCUCUGUUAAUCGGGACGCGGUACCGGAAUAGAAAGCCACGGCUAACUACGUGCCAGCAGCCGCGGUAAUUC